rnacentral:rRNA from 1 species
UACAGAGGUCCCAAGCGUUGUUCGGAUUCACUGGGCGUAAAGGGUGCGUAGGUGGUUGGGUAAGUCUGAUGUGAAAUCUCCGGGCUCAACCCGGAAAUGGCAUUGGAUACUAUCCAGCUGGAGGGUCGGAGGGGGGACUGGAAUUCUUGGUGUAGCAGUGAAAUGCGUAGAUAUCAGGAGGAACACCAGUGGCGAAGGCGAGUCCCUGGACGACUCCUGACACUGAGGCACGAAAGCUAGGGGAGCGAACGGG